rnacentral:rRNA from 1 species
UACGUACCGUCCAAACGUUAUUCGGAAUUACUGGGUUUAAAGGGUACGUAGGCGGCGCUGUUAGUCGGGUGUGAAAUCCCUCGGCUCAACCGAGGAACUGCGCCCGAUACUGCAGUGCUUGAGGGAGACAGAGGUAAGCGGAACUGAUGGUGGAGCGGUGAAAUGCGUAGAUAUCUGGAGGAACACCGGUGGCGAAGGCGGCAUCCUGGACCAACACUGACACUGAGGAGCGAAAGCCAGGGGAGCAAACGGG